GAGGUUUUCUUGUUUAUUUUGUCUUGUGCAGGCAACCCUAAAAUGGAGGCCGUUCUUGAUCGAGACUGGCCUGGAUUUGAAUUGGAAGGGCACUGCUUGCGGCACUGCUUGCUACCGCUGGAGACGAUCUGAUGCCCCUGCUGCUACAAGGGAAGGCUUCCUGGAGACUUGCUGAUGCUGCCAAGAGGCUUCUCUCGGGAAUUGCUGUGCGCAAAGGCCUUGAGGCUGAUGGGAGAGAUCACAUUUGAGUGGGGGACAUGGAACAAGAUGCUGGUUCCUGAUGGGUCCUAAUACAAGCUGGGCUGUGUGCAAGCUUGGGUACCUUGGAACUUGCUGCUACUCUUGUUCAACACCACAAGAUGCUGAUUUCAUGAGCUCAGCUUUUCUCGGCUGAGUGGGGGGAGUGAGAUAGGUUCACAAUGGUUUAGCAUUAAUUUCUUUUUUCUGAUCCAACCUUCGCAUGAUGAUCUCGGCUGAGUGGGGGUGUGAGGAUGUAGUACAUCCAAGAUCACUGUACGGCUGAGACACGUGGUGACACGUGGUGGAUCUGGAGAGUCAUGACUC
rnacentral:lncRNA from 1 species